GAUGAACGCUAGCGGCAGGCUUAAUACAUGCAAGUCGAGGGGCAUCAAGGUACACGAAAGUGUAUUGUUGGCGACCGGCGGACGGGUGAGUAAUAGGUAGGUAACCUACCUCAUACUGAGGCAUAGCUGGGAGAAAUUCCAGGUAAUUCCUCAUGAGGUUAUAUGACACAUGUGAUAUAAUCAAAGGUAUCGCAAGGUACUGGUAUGAGAUGGGCUUACUGACCAUUAGCUAGUUGGUGAGAUAAGAGCUCACCAAGGCGAAGAUGGUUAGGGGUUUGAGAGAGAGAUCCCCCACAUUGGAACUGAGAUACGGUCCAGACUCCUACGGGAGGCAGCAGUAGGGAAUAUUGGGCAAUGGGCGGAAGCCUGACCCAGCCAUGCUGCGUGAAGGAAGGCGGCCUUAUGGGUUGUAAACUUCUUUACUAUGCGACUAACUAGAUUUACGAGAUAAUUCUAUAGAAUGUAGCAUAGACAAAAAGCACC
rnacentral:rRNA from 1 species